rnacentral:lncRNA from 1 species
CAGUUCAAUAUAACCUUGUGAAUUGUGUUGUGUAGUGUUGAACAAUGUGAGAGCUUGAAAACCCUGGAGCCGAGCUCAACCAAACUCGCCCAAAUUUUUUUCGAAAGGCGGCAAAAAGCUUUUGCCGGAAUUUUAUUAGACGAGGGAAUUACAAAAGAACAGGUGAAAACACCGGAAAAGGCCAAGAAAAAAACUCUACUCUACUACUAACGACCACCCUGGCACCCUAAAGGUGCCAAAAGAGAGGAAAAAGAGAGAAAAACCAAAACACUAGGAGCUACUAACUAAGAGGAAACACCGUCCCCUGAGGAAACUCGCCCAAAAUCUUUGCUUCCUCUUUGCACAUUUGAAGCUUUCUACGUACUCAAAAGAUUGCAACAUGCGCACACAUAAUUAUAUGGUUGACCAUAUAUAAGAGCUUUAGUGUGGUACUCCCAAAUAAUUGUGAGCCAUUCAUAUAUAAUGGUUAGGGUCAUCUAUUACUAAAACAAGUAAGGAGGUCAGUUGUUUUUCAGCGACAACGACUUCAAUUCUUACUAGUAACUUAUCCCAGGUUGCGACAAGGCUAGAGACGACGCACAUGUGGUUGGAUAAGUUACCAUUGGUUAUGAGAGGGACCACGAAACACCACUACGCCAGAAAGGAACAAAAGAGACGCGUACAUCAUAGAUGGUAAUAAAUCAGUCAGCAUCACAGUAACAUAUUAGAGAUAUGUGUAGUUAAAGUACGUCUCUAUUUUGUUUUUGUCUGGAGCCACGCAGCAAUAGUACCCAUCUCUGAUGAACUAAUCUAUAUCUAACUCUUAUAAAGCUAAACUCCACUCUUAUAAAACUAAACUCCACUAGGUGUCCACAUCAUUUCCCACUAAGUGACCCCACUAGAUGGUCUAUUUCUUCAUACAAGGUGGCAACACAUCAUUUCCCACUAAGUCAAUGUCAUCCCCUAUCAAUUACAAAAAAAAAUAUUCAUGACAUCUCUAUCAUGUGUGAUACUUUUAAUCUUUAAUCUAUUAACAUACAUAUCAUCUACAUACACUAUUUGUUUCAUCAUAUAUUCCUUUAUAACAUAAUCAAAUAUUCUAUUAGUUUUUCUUCUAUUAGCUUACCGAUUUUAUACCAGAUCUGAUAUAAUAAAAUAACACGUAUAUCAAAUUUAUAAAUACACAAUAUACGAAAUAUCAUAUAUUAAUGCUAUAUAUAUAAUAUAUUUAUUUUUAGGAAAAUCCCGCAGCAGCAUGGGGUAUGCUUCUAGUACUCUUAUAAAGCUAAACCCCACUAAAUGAUUUUUCUCUUCAUGCAUGGUGUCCAUAUCAUUCCCCACCCUAGAUAUGUUAUCUAUUCAUACAAGGUAUUCACAUCAUUUUCUACUAAGUCCAUGUCAUCUUUUAUUAAAGAAUAUCCACGUCAUCUUCAUCAUGUGCAAUACUUUAAAUUUUUAAUCUAUUAACAUACAACAUCUAUAUAUGCUAUUUGUUUCCACC